GAUGAAGAACGCAGCGAAAUGCGAUAAGUAAUGUGAAUUGCAGAAUUCAGUGAAUCAUCGAAUCUUUGAACGCACAUUGCGCCCGCCAGUAUUCUGGCGGGCAUGCCUGUCUGAGCGUCAUUUCAACCCUCAUGCCCCUAGGGCGUGGUGUUGGGGAUCGGCCAAAGCCCGCGAGGGACGGCCGGCCCCUAAAUCUAGUGGCGGACCCGUCGUGGCCUCCUCUGCGAAGUAGUGAUAUUCCGCAUCGGAGAGCGAUGAGCCCCUGCCGUUAAACCCCCAACCUUCCAAGGUUGACCUCAGAUCAGGUAGGAAUACCCGCUGAACUUAAGCAUAUCAAUAAGCGGAGGA
rnacentral:misc_RNA from 1 species